AUGGUUGUCGUCAGCUCGUGUCGUGAGAUGUGGUUAAGUCCGCAACGAGCGCAACCCUCGACCUUAGUUGCCAGCAUUCAGUUGGGCACUCUAAGGUGACUGCCGGCUAAAAGUCGGAGGAAGGUGGGGAUGACGUCAAAUCAUCAUGCCCCUUAUGACCUGGGCUACACACGUGCUACAAUGGGCGGUACAAAGGGUCGCGAACCCGCGAGGGGGAGCCAAUCCCAAAAAGCCGCUCUCAGUUCGGAUUGCAGGCUGCAACUCGCCUGCAUGAAGCCGGAAUCGCUAGUAAUCGCGGAUCAGCAUGCCGCGGUGAAUACGUUCCCGGGCCUU
rnacentral:rRNA from 1 species